UCCCAGCAGGAGUCUCUGAUGAGUCUCUGUUUUUCCUCCAAAUGGAUCUUUCUGUUCAUGGAAGGAAUGCUCUGAAUACAAGCUUAUCAUAGGAAUAUCCUAGGAGUUGAUUUUAUUAGCUUAUAUCCCUCAAUUCAUGCAUUUUAGCAGUCAGGAUAGUCUUACCAAAAUACUGCCAGCACUAAGAUUGAUUCUACAAUAGAAUUAGGCUGGAUAUAAGUCAUCAUUUUAUGUCUUCCUUAAAUGGGGUAGUAUUCUCUUUGUUUUCUUGUAGUUAGGGAGCAGUGAAAUUCAACUUCUUUAUGUGUUCCCAUUAAGCAUUCAUUGGGUGAUAUCAAACAUUAAUCAUACUCAAAGUAGACUCACUAAAAUCAGUGGAUUUUAGUCCUUCAUUUCAGCUAGCCUACUCUUGAGUUUGACUUCCAUUGGAUAUUGCCUGUUAUCUUUUUUUUACCUAACUAGGAAACUUAAUUACUUGUGUUUACAUGAUCUAAUGCAAUAUACAGCAUUAGUGCAGAUUUAAAAGCUGCUCUCUUGGGUAACUAUACUUUCGUACCUAAAAAUGUCACAAGUUUUGCUCAUUCCUCUGACUUGACAAGUGCUUUUUUUUUUGUUCAUUGUAGUGUAAACUAACACAGGUUUCUGCUUCCUAUUUCCUAUAUCUUCCGUUGCAAGAAUAUUGCAUGUGGAGUCCAGCCUCUUCUGUCUGGACAUUCAAGGGAUCAUUACAUUUAUCAGUAGCAGGGGGGAAAUGUGACUUGUAAGAGUACAGACCAGGUUUUAACCAUAAUUUUAAUCAAAUUAUUAGUUUGUACAGUUGCUUACAUGUUCAUUUCACAUGGGAAUGCUGACUCACAAGUAAGUUUUUAUAACCCAUCUGAAACAGAUACUUGAAGCGUCUUCCAUCAAAACCAUUAGGGCAAUUCGAGGUAAAUGCUCUUGAUUGGUUCAUUUCUGAAAGAUUCCGUUCUAUUGGUCAGUACCAUAAAACAAGUCUUUACUUGGUUUUAGCUGGUGGUCCUUCAUAUUUAUUUAGAGUUAAGUUCCUUCAGUAAAUCACAGUUGUUGUUUACCAUUAAAAACAGAUUUUAUUACUAAAAAUAAAUAAAAAUAAAUUAAGAACCCUAUAAUAUUUAAAGGCUGGUUCAGAGGAAGCCCAGAUUAAGAGAGCAUGCACAUCCAACCUUCCUUUCUCCCUCCCCAUCUUUCUCUGCUCUGCUUCAGUGCUGUGUGCAAUGUUUGCGAUCCCUGGUUCACUUCUGAACCUGCCACCCUGACAAGUAAUUGGCACCAGGCUUAGGUAUUAAGUGAGAAAUUAGGCUGGGAGAAAUCAGGCUAUUAUGUAAUAGUUCCCUUUAUGCUGAAGGAUGAGUGGAUAUUUGCCUGGGACCUUAAUAAUUAAUGUGAAUAAAUGUUCUGGAGGUACAGUGGCCAUCGUAAAUGAUAGGUGUUACCCAUGUAGUUGUGAUCCCCUGAGUUACUGAAAUCAUUCUGUGAUUAUAGAGGCUAAUGUAGCUUCUCUUUUUAAAGGUGGUCACUUUUUUGUUUUUGUUUUGGAUAAUCAAAAUAAGCUGUUUUCCUUAUUUUGCUCCUUUCCUCCGUUACUGUUUUAAUACUGCAUUCAUUGUUCAAAUUGUAUCUGUUACAUGAAGAAAAGAGUUUUUAGAGUAAAUAUGGAUGCACUGGAGACAUCUGUGCACUUGGAUUGAGAUGUUUGCCAUGGCAGUUCCCCGCGCUGAAGACAUGAUUCUGCUCAGUUUAAAAAACCAACUUUACUCUUUAGCAGUAGGAACUGUUGUGGCAAAAACAGCAAGCAAAGCCCUGUUUGUAUCCGAGUUCUUUCCUGGGCAUGUAUUUCUUUCCUCUCUAGAAUCGGGCCAUGAUAUAUUCUAUUGUGUUCAGUAGACUUUGCACUAUGAUAAACUCUCAGCAUCUAAUUGUAUAUGUUAAGGUCUGACUAUAUCUCUGUCGACAUGUUGAAAGGUUCUAUUUGAAGCUAAUGGAUGUAAUACAAAAGAUUCAGAACAACUGCUUUGCAAGUGAGGGCUGAAAUUGAGCUGGCAUUAAUAAUUCUAUCUGUAAGGAGUGACUGUUGCAGAAAUACUGUAUCUGCGUCACACCUUCAAAAUGCUUUGAAGUUUUCAUCAUUCCCAACUAAUAGUUUCAGAAAGCUGAUAGACUUAACCAUUAAAGCACCUUUCAGCUGGUGUUUCUGAAUUUCUUUAAUUCAUAUUUGGCAAGCUGGACUUUUCAACAGUGAUAAAUCAGUAUCAAGUCUAAAAUUUAAUGGGUAGAACAUAGAAUUUUCCCAUAUUGCCCACUUCUGCUAUGAAAAGUGAUGUAUAGGGUGGGAUAGCAGAUGAAUAGUAAAAAGGUGUUUUGUAUGUGGUUCCUUUUGCAAAAACCUCAUUUUGCAAAAUCUAAUAAACCUCAUGUGGUCA